rnacentral:tRNA from 1 species
GGGCCGGUAGCUUAGCCUGGUGGAGCGGCCGUCUUAUAAGCGGCAGGCCAGCGGUUCAAAUCCGCUCCGGCCCA